UGACAGGUGACUAGUCCUGUGAAGGAACAGCAGGGACAUAAAAGUAAAAGAGUGAAGGAGUGAGCUCGCCAAGCACAACCAGCAGGGAUGAAAGGCUAACUCAGUGAACAACAGAAAGACAGACGGACUUCUGAACAGACACACCGACCAGCAGAAACCACUGGGGAAAGCAACAGUCAGCCAGUGCGACUGACUUAGAGUCCCAAACAGCUAUCUUCUUCUGGGGACAACAAAGAGAGGUGGCUCAGCAUGCAAGCAUGGGGAUUGGAGUCUCAAAACUUCGAGAAUCCACCUAAACCUGAGUGUGGUGGUGCAUGGCUCUAAUCCCUGUUUACAGAACUUAAAGCCCUACAAAUCAUCUUGUGUGGACCCUUUUCUGAUGAAAUGGUCUGAGAAAUCAGCCCAGAGACAUGGAAUGACAGACCCAAGAGCACACAGCACAUGUGGUCAGGGCUGGGAUCCACACGGUCUUUAAUAAACUCGUCUAUUGGUAUGAUUUCAAAUGCAAUAGAUAAGUACACCUGUCAUCUUCUUAACAAAGGACAAGUCUGUUACCCAGGAAACACAGCGAUCCGUCUGUGAGAAUGUAAUCCGGUCUUUAAUGACAUCUGCAGCCACGUGGCAAUGGUGACGCAAUGAGAUGACCCACGGGAAGACAUGGGCUGUCACCGUGGUGAAGCCUGAGGACUGUGACUGUGCUGCAGGAGUGUCACCUGUGUCUUUGCAUCUCCUCACCGUAGUUUAAACCUAGCUCAAGUCAGACCUGCUUACCUUGUACAGACAGUAUCUACCCAGCAAUUGACCGCCAGGCACUUCUGCUAACUGCUUUUAGUAAAAUUGUCUAAUUCUAAUGUGUGUUAGAGGGGGCGAGGGGGCGAGGGGGCAAGGGGGCGAGGGGGCGAGGGAGAGGGCGAGGGAGAGGGAGAGGGAGUCUGUAAGUUGGUUUCUGACUUCCACACAGUGGAACACAGGCACCUAUAGUCACUCAAAUAUGCACAUGCAUGGCAAAUACACAGGCACACACACACACAUGCACACACACACACAUGCACGUGCACACACAUGUGCAUGCGUGGUGGGGAAGGAGAGAGAGUGAGAGCAUACGGAUAAAAAUAAAACAAAAUGUAAAAUACCCAUUGUGUCCUGAUUCACAACACAUUAUUCCUCAACUUCUUGGCCAACUCAUGCAAGCCCCUUCAGAUGCCUCAGUGCCUUUCUCAAGAGACUACAUGUAAGAAAGUUGCUAGGGACAGUGACAGAGAGCACAGAGUAACUUUUAUAUUUAACAAUGGUAGAAAAAAAUACCAUAGAGGAAACAAUUGCUCCUCAGAGGCCAUUAUCCUGCCCUCUCAUCCUGCUGUGUAACUCAGGCUUUAGGCUGGCCCCAAACUUAACAAUCCUCCUGUCUCAAGCUCCUGCGUGCUGGGAAUACAGCAUGUACAAUGAUCUCCAUGUGUUGAAUGCUGAUGGACAGCAGGCUGUCUCAGCAGAACACAGAGGUGCUCUGAGAGAAUGCUUAACGUAAAAUGGUAAAAGUCGCUUUCUGUCUGGCACACAGAGAGCUUAAUCAAAUGUAUAAAGGAAGUAUCAAGGUCUCCAAUCACUGAUCUGCCCACCUAACUGCUCCUCUAUCCCAGGAGAUUCGCAUGGAGGACUUAAGCCAAAUACAUAUAUGUACAAAUUUAUAUUUUGUGGUAUGUUUCUUUUUGGUCUUAAGAACAUUUUUAAGAGAGCAGAAAUAACAAGCUAUAGUUCUCUGUUUGUCGAGUUAAUAAUGACUUUUUACUGAACAAGAAUGCCUGAUUUUGUCUAAGCAGUAAGAUGGGCAAUCCUACUCAGGUUUACCUCUUUGGAAGGCGAUCUGCUCAGUACAUCAAGACACAAGCAUGUAUUGACACUUUUACCCCACAGUUCGGGGAGAACAAAUUGUAGGAAAAAAAAAAAACAAUAUGCUUCAGAGGUCAUCUCAGGACUAUAAGGGAAAUAUGUAAACAAGAGCAGAGGAAACUGACCUAAACCUACACAUCAGUGUAAGAUACUGAACAGCUCAGUGGUUAAGAGCACUGACUGUUCUUCCAGAGGUCCUGAGUUCAAUUCCCAGCAACCACAUGGUGGCUCACGACCAUCUGCAAUGGAAUCUGAUGCCUUCUUCUGGUGUGUCUGAUGACAGCGACAGUGUGAACUUACAUAAAUAAAACAAAUAAGCCUUUUUAAAAAGAUGGAAAAUUAGGUCAAAGAUAUUUGUGUGUUAUAUGAGUAGAGCACAUAAAAUAUGGUUGAGGAAUAUAUAAGGAAACAAGCCAGGCAAAAACAGUCAGUGCUAGUUUGAUAAUAUGAGAACAUGCUUGAUUUCCUCCAUAUAUUGUUUAUCCUGAUUCUCUAGAAUAAACAUUGUACUAGC
rnacentral:lncRNA from 1 species